rnacentral:rRNA from 1 species
UUUCGCAAUGCCCGAAAGGGUGACUAUGCGACGCCGUGUGAGCGAUGAAGGUCUUCGGAUUGUAAAGCUCUGUCAGCCGGGAUGAAUACAGAGAGGUGAAUACCCUUUCUGUUUGACGGUACCGGCGGAGGAAGCCACGGCUAACUUCGUGCCAGCAGCCGCGGUAAGACGAAGGUGGCAAGCGUUGCUCGGAAUUACUGGGCAUAAAGCGCGCGUAGGUGGCUUUGCAAGUCUGUGGUGAAAUCCCAUGGCUCAACCGUGGAACGGCCGCUGAUACUGCAGAGCUUGAGGACGGUAGGGGAGAGUGGAACUCCUGGUGUAGCGGUGAAAUGCGUAGAUAUCAGGAGGAACGCCGGUGGCGAAAGCGACUCUCUGGGCCGUUCCUGACACUGAGGUGCGAGAGCUAGGGGAGCAAACAGGAUUAGAUACCCUGGUAGUCCUAGCUGUAAACGAUGGGCACUAAGUAGAGGGGUUUUA